rnacentral:rRNA from 1 species
GACGGAGGAUGCAAGUGUUAUCCGGAAUCACUGGGCGUAAAGCGUCUGUAGGUGGUUUAAUAAGUCAACUGUUAAAUCUUGAGGCUCAACCUCAGGCCUGCAGUCGAUACGGGCGGACUUGAGUACUGCAGGGGAGACUGGAAUUCCGGGUGUAGCGGUGGAAUGCGUAGAGAUCCGGAAGAACACCAGUGGCGAAGGCGGCCCGCUGGGCAGUGGCUGACGCUGAGGCGCGACAGCGUGGGGAGCAAACGAGG